rnacentral:rRNA from 1 species
CACGUAGGGCGCAAGCGUUGUCCGGAAUUAUUGGGCGUAAAGAGCUCGUAGGCGGUCUGUUGCGUCCGCUGUGAAAACUCGGGGCUUAACCCCGAGCCUGCAGUGGAUACGGGCAGACUAGAGGUAGGUAGGGGAGAAUGGAAUUCCCGGUGUAGCGGUGAAAUGCGCAGAUAUCAGGAGGAACACCGGUGGCGAAGGCGGAUCUCUGGGCCAUUACUGACGCUGAGGAGCGAAAGCGUGGGGAGCGAACAGG